UAGCUGUGAUUUUGUUUCCCAUACUUAUGUAUUCUUUCCAAAUGGGUGCAACUGGUGCAGCAAUUUCCACAGUUGUGUCUCAAUAUGUUGUCACCUUCUUAAUGCUAUGGUUUCUAAAUAAGAGAGCAAUACUACUGCCUCCAAAGAUGGGAUCAUUACAAUUUGGAGGAUACAUAAAAUCUGGUGGUUUUCUUCUUGGAAGAACUCUUGCUGUUCUAACAACCAUGACUUUGGGGACAUCAAUGGCUGCUCAUCA